UGGCUGGGUUUUGGGAUCA
rnacentral:siRNA from 1 species